rnacentral:rRNA from 1 species
AGUGAACGUUAGCGGUGUGGAUUAGGCAUGCAAGUCGUGCGUGAAAGCCUUCGGGCGAGUAAAGCGGCGAACGGGUGAGUAACACGUAACCAACCUAUCCUUCAGAUCGGAAUAACCACUGGAAACGGUGGGUAAUGCCGAAUGGUCUACCGAGAUGGCAUCAUCUCGUUAGUAAACGGAGUGAUCUGCUGAGGGAGGGGGUUGCGGGCUAUUAGCUAGUUGGUGAGGUAACGGCUCACCAAGGCAAUGAUGGCUAGCGGGUCUGAGAGGAUGAUCCGUCACACUGGGACUGAGACACUGCCCAGACUCCUACGGGAGGCUGCAGUCGAGAAUCUUCCGCAAUGGGCGAAAGCCUGACGGAGCGACACCGCGUGCAGGAUGAAGGCCUUAGGGUUGUAAACUGCUGUCACGCUAUAGGAACAGUACCUUCGGGUGCCUGACCAAAGCGAGAGGAAGCACCGGCUAACUCCG